GGACUACUGGGGUAUCUAAUCCCGUUCGCUACCCUAGCUUUCGCGCCUCAGCGUCAGAAGAGGUCCAGCACGUCGCUUUCGCCACCGGCGUUCCUUCCGAUAUCAACACAUUUCACCGCUCCACCGGAAGUUCCACAUGCCCCUACCUCCCUCAAGGCGACCAGUAUCAAAGGCUGUUUUCCGGUUAAGCCGAAAGAUUUCACCCCUGACUUGAUCGUCCGCCUACGCGCCCUUUAAGCCCAGUGAUUCCGAACAACGUUCGCACGGUUCGUCUUACCGCGGCUGCUGGCAC
rnacentral:rRNA from 1 species